GACGAACGCUGGCGGCAGGCCUAACACAUGCAAGUCGAGCGAGCGGCGGACGGGUGAGUAAUGUAUGGGGACUGCCCGAUAGAGGGGGCUAACUACUGGAAACGUUGGCUAAUACCGCAUACUAUCGGAUAACCCAUAUGGGAUUAGCUAGUAGGUGGGGUAAAGGCUCACCUAGGCGCCGAUCGCUAGCUGGUCUGAGAGGAUGAUCAGCGACAAUGGGACUGAGACACGGCCCAGACUCCUACGGAGGCAGCGGUUGGGAAUAUUGCACAAUGGGGGCAAGCCUGAUGCAGCCAUGCCGCGUGUAUGAAGAAGGCCUUAGGGUUGUAAAGUACUUUCAGCGGUGAGGCGUUACCCGCAGAAGAAGCACCGGCUAACUCCGUGCCAGCAGCCGCGGUAAUAC
rnacentral:rRNA from 1 species